GAUGAACGCUGGCGGCGUGCCUAAUACAUGCAAGUCGAGCGAACAGAUAAGGAUCUUGCUCCUUUGACGUUAGCGGCGGACGGGUGAGUAACACGUGGGUAACCUACCUAUAAGACUGGAAUAACUCCGGGAAACCGGGGCUAAUGCCGGAUAACAUUUAGAACCGCAUGGUUCUAAAGUGAAAGAUGGUUUUGCUAUCACUUAUAGAUGGACCCGCGCCGGAUUAGCUAGUUGGUAAGGUAACGGCUUACCAAGGCAACGAUACGUAGCCGACCUGAGAGGGUGGUAGGCCACACUGGAACUGAGACAGGGUCCAGACUCCUACGGGAGGCAGCAGUAGGGAAUCUUACGCAAUGGGCGAAAGCCUGACGGAGCAACGCCGCGUGAGUGAUGAAGGUCUUCGGAUCGUAAAACUCUGUUAUUAGGGAAGAACAAAUGUGUAAGUAACUGUGCACGUAUUGACGGUACCUAAUCAGAAAGCCACGGCUAACUACGUG
rnacentral:rRNA from 1 species